rnacentral:tRNA from 1 species
GCGCCCAUAGCUUAAUUGGAUAGAGCAUUUGACUACGAAUCAAAAGGCUAGAGGUUCAACUCCUCUUGGGCGCG